rnacentral:misc_RNA from 1 species
GGAUAUGAAGAGCGUAAAAUCCGAUCGUAUCGGUUACAGCUUCAACAGCGUCUUCAACAGGCAGAAGAGAGAAAGGCAGCUGUAAGGAAGAUUCCUGAGCAGAUGAUUUUAUCAGAAGUUAGACGCAUGGUAGAAGAGAUGCAAGCUUUAAAUAAGAAGUUAGAAGAUACUGAGACGGCCAUAACUGAUUAUUUCAAGCCUUUAGACCAGCAGGCAGAGGAAGUAAUGAAAAUGCAACUUAAGGGAGAUGAGAAGAGAAAAGAUGAGAUGAUGGAGGCCAUGCAGAAGCAAGCACUUCUUGAGAUGGCUCAAGCAG